AAAUGCGAUAAGUAAUGUGAAUUGCAGAAUUCAGUGAAUCAUCGAAUCUUUGAACGCACAUUGCGCCCGCCAGUAUUCUGGCGGGCAUGCCUGUUCGAGCGUCAUUUCAACCAUCAAGCCCCCGGCUUGUGUUGGGGACCUGCGGCUGCCCGCAGGCCCUGAAAAACAGUGGCGGGCUCGCUGUCACACCGAGCGUAGUAGCAUACAUUCUCGCUCAGGGCGUGCUGCGGGUUCCGGCCGUUAAACGACCUUCAUAACCCAAGGUUGACCUCGGAUCAGGUAGGAAGACCCGCUGAACUGAAG
rnacentral:misc_RNA from 1 species